rnacentral:lncRNA from 1 species
GCAACACUAAUUAGGGGGACCUAGAAUGUCUCCCACGAAUCAGGUAGAGUUAUUAAUAGGAACAAUCUCAACACAUCAUCAUCAUCAAAGUUGAUACCUGCAGCUAACAACUGAUCAUCACAACAUCCUUGAAAUUCACUCAAGUGCUCAGUAAAUGAACUCUUGUCCUUGUACUUCAAUUCAACAAUGCUUUUUAAUAGAUACAA